rnacentral:rRNA from 1 species
UACAGAGGUCUCAAGCGUUGUUCGGAUUCAUUGGGCGUAAAGGGUGCGUAGGUGGCGCGCUAAGUCAGGUGUGAAAUUUCGGAGCUUAACUCCGAAACUGCAUUUGAUACUGGCGUGCUUGAGGACUGGAGAGGAGACUGGAAUUCAUGGUGUAGCAGUGAAAUGCGUAGAGAUCAUGAGGAAGACCAGUGGCGAAGGCGGGGUCUCUGGACAGUUCCUGACACUGAGGCACGGAAGGCCCAGGGGGAGCAAACGGG